rnacentral:rRNA from 1 species
AGCGAACGUUAGCGGCGCGCCUAACACAUGCAAGUCGCACGAGGUAGCAAUACCUAGUGGCGCACGGGUGCGUAACACGUAGAUAAUCUGCCCUUCAGCGGGGGAUAACGUUCCGAAAGGAGCGCUAAUACCGCAUACAGCAUUCGGUGGUUCGCCAUUGGAUGGCAAAGGCUGGGAUCGCAAGACCAGCCACUGAAGGAGGAGUCUGCGGCCCAUCAGCUAGUUGGUAAGGUAAUGGCUUACCAAGGCAAAGACGGGUAGCUGGUCUGAGAGGAUGAUCAGCCACACUGGUACUGGAACACGGGCCAGACUCCUACGGGAGGCAGCAGUGGGGAAUCUUGGUCAAUGGGCGCAAGCCUGAACCAGCGACGCCGCGUGAGUGAUGAAGGCCUUCGGGUUGUAAAGCUCUGUGGGGAGAGACGAAAGAAUCGGUUCUAACAGGACCGAAGUUGACGGUAUCUCCUUAGCAAGCACCGGCUAACUCUGUGCCAGCAGCCGCGGUAAGACAGAGGGUGCAAACGUUGCUCGGAAUCACUGGGCGUAAAGGGCGUGUAGGCGGGAAUGUAAGUCGGGCGUGAAAUCCCUAGGCUCAACCUAGGAACUGCACUCGAAACUGCGUUUCUUGAGUAUCGGAGAGGAAAGCGGAAUACCUGGUGUAGAGGUGAAAUUCGUAGAUAUCAGGUGGAACACCAGUGGCGAAGGCGGCUUUCUGGACGAUAACUGACGCUGAGACGCGAAAGCGUGGGGAGCAAACAGGAUUAGAUACCCUGGUAUUCCGCGCCGUAAACGAUGAGUGCUAGGUGCUGNGGGUAUUGACCC